rnacentral:lncRNA from 10 species
AAAGUCCUGGGAUUACAGGCAUGAGCCACUGUGCCUGGCUGUCAAUAGUUGUAUUUUUAAAUAUUGGUACUGCUGAAGAUCUGUUUCUGGUGACUGAUGUUUUAAUGAGAUGGAUGAUUGCCAAUGAUGUAUUUUUAGUAUUUAUAGGCAUCCCUAUUUUUUAUUUUUGAUAAGUUGAAUCUCAUUGGUGGUUAUAACCUU